CCCGACCGCAGUCCCUGGAGGAAAAGGCAAAGUAGGCUCUCAAAGGAAAGAAAGAAAGAGGUUCGGCUGGAAGAGACAAUGUCCAAGGAAGUGGCUGGCCAGAUUCACAAGCAUCAGACCCUCCAAAAGUGCCCAUUGUCUCAGGAUCUUCACUCUUGGGUCUCUCUCUUUAACAGCAGGCCCGACUCCUAGUCAACAGCUCUUCAAGAUCAACAGGUGCCAAGUGAAGGCUUGGCUAGGAAGAGGGCAAGAUGGGGUGCCCAGGACCAUGAACAGGGGUAGAAACAAAGGAUGACUUUGACCCUGGAGUUCUUGCAGCAGCGACUGACUGGUGGAGGAGUCCGGGGAUCUGUGGCCCUUGCUCAGAGGGAAGGAAGCUCUCCAGCCAGAGAACCAAGGCUGUCUGUCAGCAGCUGCCAGAGUUCAAGAGUCUUUCCAGAGCCCUGGUCCCAAGGUUCUGGUCCAGAGGAGCCCAGCCAAGUUCUCCCCCAGCCCCUCCAGCACCCCAGGGCGUUACAGAAAACCCCGCUUGCAAGAUGUCUGGACCCCCACUCCUUGAUUAUAUUAAUGCCAAAAUGUAUUAAAGAAGCGUGGUAGAAAUGCUAUUCUAA